GAUGCAGCCAGUCAGGAUGCUAUCAGUUGUCUAUGGUUCCAGUGCAGGAGCAAUUCGGAUAGGCACACGGACGGGAGGGGUAUGAUCCAGACGCAGGUCGACGGGAAUUUUUACACCCGUACUUCGAAAUAAGCAGCGGGGUGCGCCAUUUGCGUUAACAACCAACACGCCCACGGGUGUGCUGGGGCAGCCCACCCAUUCCAGUGCCAGCAUAGUAUACCCACAACGCUCGGCUAUUGAGUGACUGAAAGGAAGGAGGCCAUUCUGCCCAUCGCACCCACUCCAGCCAAAGUCAAAUCUGUUUGGUUAAUGCUCCGUUCGGCCCCUGCCAGCAAAACGGUCUUCCCGACAGUACGGUAUUCCCACCGCACUGCCCUCCCUCCCAGGCGGAAUAGCAAUUCCCUUAUCAAAACCUGCCCUCCUCCAUCUCCUCAGAAUUACAAGCGCAGAGACCCUUCUGAAGAAAUCUUGUCUUAUCUCAGCCCGAGCUCGGUGAGAAGUCUCGUCCCGGUGCCCUUCGCCCCAUCAGGGGUGGCAAACCUUUUUUCUCUACCCAAACUUCCCGCCUGUGCCACAAUGACUCGGAACCAGAGAUUACAUCGAACAAUGAAUAAGUAAUGAUAAUCGUGGGCACCUUUGCUGGUCUCGGGUUGCAAAAAACAAUAAAAUAAAAUAAAAAUUUUGCCGCUUCAUUUGGCACCCGCCAAAAAGAAAAUCUUUGCAUGCGCCAUCUUGGGCACACGUGCCAUAGGUUCGCCACCCCCUGUUAGAUACUUCAGCUUAAAGAGUCAAAUCUUCAGUGUCUACAGCGCAAGUUGUCUGGACAUGUGAAUCACUUCAUAGUUCUGAAACACAAUGGGUUAAAGUCUUUCCUGAAUCAGACGAGGGAAGUGUCUGCCUUAGCCUCUGUAUCAGAAUGGACACUCCCGAUAUACCGUGGGCGCACAUAUAUUAACCAAACAGCGAAAAUAAAGUAUGCUUGUUAAAAUAAUACUCUAUUUUCUUUUUCACCGCAGUCUCGGGACGCUGCAGAGCUUCAUGCUGGGCUAUGGCGAAACUGCACACUCGGCAGUUUGGUUAAUUUUCCCAGCCGGUGGUCCGCUACCCUCUUCACGCCCGCCCUUUGAAGCUCUUCCAUCCCAAAUAUUUGUCCCUCUCCAGCUAAUUCUGCUUCAGCUGCCGGGGCCGGGCGGAGAAGGCCGAGGAUGUGGGGGGGGUGGGGGGGGGGUGACGUUGCGCGGGGAAGAAAGCGAGAUCCUCCCAAGUUGACGCUUGCUCUCGGGACGGCCACGUUGACCUUUACGACUUCGGCGCAAAGACGAACGGAAAUAACUUUUCUUUGUGCUACACUUGCAAGGGUGGAACUCCUCCGAUGGCUUUUGGUAUUCCCUGUCCUCGCACGGUCUGCCCGCUACGGUCCCGUCAAGUUUACUCAACAGUGCGCUUGAGAUAUCCUUCCGAAACCUUGACACUACUCUUAACUUGGGAUUAAGAGUGCUGGAGGGAUCCAGCAGCAUCUCCCCCCCCACCCACCCCGUCCCUCUCCACGCCUCGUGACGCAUCAAGGUGGCCACCUCGCCAUUUCUGUAUCAUUUGCCUAUAUUUUUUUUAAAUGAGGCCGAGUUUCUAGCUCGACGCUCGACCCAGCGCGGGCAGAAAGCGCGCGAGGAGCCGGCCGGAUUCGAACCCGGGACCAGCCCGGUGCAGAUGCCGCUACACCGCCAGCCGGCCUAGGCCGCACCUAUGGAGAGGGAUAAGGAGCCAGCAUUCCGGGCCGAGACCCUUCUUCGGGAUAGACUCCGGAUCCAGCCCACACCGUCCCUACGCUGCCCGACCUGCUGUGUUCCUCCCGUGUUUUGCCUGCGUUGCUCUGGAUUUCCAGCAUCUGCAGAAUCUCUUAGCCAACUAACCAGCUAACCCCGCACAGGGAAUGUUUGAGAGGAGAGAAUUCCUCCCCAGUAGGGACUGGAACCCCAGUGGGUAAGGGGAUAUUAACCGUCUGUCACGAACUACGUCUGAUCCGUCGCCGAUCCUCGACCCUAGCGAGGAAAGCUCCCAGCGCACAGAGACAGGUCAGACGACGAGCUGUAAAUCGGGGAGCAACCGUUCCCGUACCGUGCAAGCCAGAAUGCACAUUAACGUCGCUGCACCCCCACAGGACAUUUUCCAGAGGGGCCGACGAGGGUCAUUGAACCGAAACAGAAACCAAGCCGAUUAUUCGGAUAGGUGGCAUAGACACACUCGAAGUUGAGUCAAACCGGACACACUGGAGACUGUGGUAGAACAAAGGACCCGACGGAAAACCCUGGCGAUUCCGGACGAUGUUUCUCACCCUCUGCACGCCUGAACAGAGGAGCACUUUUAGUAACAGACCGAGACAACUGCGCCGCUCCAAACAGGUCAUCCUUACCCUCGGCCAUUGGGCUCGAUAAUGAGUCGGGGAAGUGAUGACUGUCUGAGGUGACUUAUUUUUUAUUCUUUCUCACUUCUCUGCUAAUAUUUGUGUAUCUGUGCACUUGUAAUGUGACUCUGUAAUUUCCUUUGGGAUCAGUAAAGUAUCUGUCGACCUUAACCCAUGACCUCUCGUUGUAGUCAAGUACACAGAACAGUGCAGGCAUUACAAUAAAUAAUAAACAAGACAAUAGGCACAACAGAGGGCAGUAGGUAGGUAGUUCAGAUGGCUUCGGGGAAAAUCUGUUACAUAAAUAAACAGCUGAAUGACAGCAUCUGGGAUUCCGUCCGUUUCUGUACUCCCGCCGAGUAUUUCAUUGCCACAGAUGUAGUCCAGUUUAAUGUCCACUGGAGAGCAGAAUGGACAGGAGAGCCGGCCAGCCGGCUAGGGCUCGCUUUUCUCCUGGCACGGACCCCUGCCCGCUCGCCUCGCUUCCACGUCCUCUCACACCGCCUACGACGUCCCCACCUCCGGCAUCGGGCGACUCCGAGGACUGCAGGCCCGAUUCCCUCAGCGAGCCGAGGUCGCGCAAUCCAACCGGCAGAUUUCGUUUUCGGGCCAUCUCUGUAUCGUUUGUUUUCGGGCCUUCUCUGUAUUGCGGCAGUAACUGGCGAUGGUAGACGGUCGCUCUGUUAUCCAUUGCCCUAAAACCCUAAUCGUGCCUCAAAAUUAAAUAAAAAAACUAAAUUAAAGUAGCACCAGAUCUGAAAGGCCGCUGCGGCCACGUUCCAGGCUGCCUACAGGAUCUGCCCAACCUCAGUGGAGAAAGCCUAUCUAUACCCCUCAUAAUUUUGUAUACCUCGAUCAAACCUCCCCUCAAUCCAAGAAAUAAAGUCCUACCUAACCUAUUCGAUCUUUCCUUAUAACUCAGACCCAACAACAUCCUUGUAUAUUUUCUCUGAACUCCUUCACCCUGAUCUCCAUCCUUCCUUGGGGGGGUGGGGGGGUUAGGUGACCAUUCUGGACUGACAGGAGGAACCAUUUCUUCAUGUGCGUCGUUGGGAACAACGCUGUGGCUGCCACUCUAAUCAGGCACACCGACAUCAUCUGCCCACCCACCUCAAGGCCUGACGUGCCGUGUGUUUGGAAUCCCACAGAUUCAACGCCCUCCCGUU